GAGAAGUUCUGUCGUGAUUAUGAAUUGUUUGGCCGAUUAGUCUCACUAUUUAAAUUGAUUUAGGUUUGUUAAUCUGCAUAAAUUUAUAGUUGUUGUUUUAACUGUCGGUUGAAUUCAUCAGAAUGACCAUUUUGUGGUUUUUUUGUCAACUAUUGUAGGAUUACCAGAUUCCUGAGAGGACAGAAAAGGAAGGAAAAGGUUUCCUUAUCGUUGUGAAUAAGUGGGAUACGAUACCCAAUAAAAACCAGCAAAGUGCAACAUACUAUGAGCAAGAUGUUAGGGAGAAGCUUCGCAGUCUUGAUUGGACACCGAUUGUUUAUUCAACUGCAAUAGCUGGUAACAGUGUUGAAAAGAUCAUUGUUGCUGCUGGCACAGUGGAAAAGGAGAGGUCAAGAAGGCUUAGCACUGCUAUACUAAAUCAAGUGGUGCAGGAGACAGUGGCUUUUAAAGCACCUCCACAGACUCGUGGUGGAAAGAGACGGCGGGUUUAUUACUGCACUCAGGCUGCUAUCAGGCCACCCGCAUUUGUUUUCUUUGUAAAUGAUGUCAAACUUUUCUCCGGGACAUAUCGGAAGUAUAUGGAGAAGCAACUGCGAUCAAAAGCAGGGUUUUCAGGUACCCCUAUUCGGCUUCUGUGGCGCAGCAGAAAGAAAAUGGAG